CAGACUGAACAGACCACCUCACUCACCAUGGAUGGUGCCUCUAGAUUCCUCCCCAUGGCCUGGAGUCUGGCCUUCCUCCUGGUCUCCACCUGCCCCUCAGGUUCCUCCUCACAGUCGGUGCUGACUCAGAGCCCCUCUGCAUCCUUUUCCGCAGGGGACACAGUGCGCCUCUUCUGUGCCUUGUCUUCUGGCAACAUCGGCAGCUACAGGGUUGGCUGGUACCAGCAGAAAUCAGACAAGGUCAUUCGACUUCUAUACCACUAUUACACCAGCAGUAGCCAAGGCAGGGGGUCCGGGAUCCCCGAGAGAUUCAGCGUCUCUCCAGAUUCCUCCAAAAACCUCUGGAAUUUAGUGAUCACAGGAGCUCAAGCUGAAGAUGAGGCUACUUAUUACUGUGGCAUUUGGCAUAGCAGCAUGUAUCACAGUGGCUAA